rnacentral:rRNA from 1 species
UAAAGAGUUCUAUAACUCCCAAACCCAUGUGAACAUACCUAACGUUGCCUCGGCAGGUCGCACCUACCUUGUAGCACCCUACCCUGUAGGGCCUACCCGGGAGGUGCGGGUAAGCCUGCCGGCGGCCCACCAAACUCUGUUUGAUAUUGAAUUCUGAACCUAUAACUAAAUAAGUUAAAACUUUCAACAACGGAUCUCUUGGUUCUGGCAUCGAUGAAGAACGCAGCGAAAUGCGAUAAGUAAUGUGAAUUGCAGAAUUCAGUGAAUCAUCGAAUCUUUGAACGCAUAUUGCGCCCAUUAGUAUUCUAGUGGGCAGGACCGUUCGAGCGUCAUUUCAACCCUUAAGCCUUCGUUGCUUAGUGUUGGGAGCCUACGGCAACGUAGCUCCUCAAAGUUAGUGGCGGAGUUGGUUCACACUCUAGACGUAGUAAUUUUUUAUCUCGCCUAUUAGUUGGACUAAUCCCCUGCCGUAAAACCCCCAAUUUAUCAAGGUUGACCUCGAAUCGGUUCAGACAAACUCGCUAAAUUGAAGCAUCUUAGUCAGCGAAGGAAAAGAAACCAACAGGGAUUGCCCUAGUAACGGCGAGUGAAGCGGCAACAGCUCAAAUUUGAAAUCUGGCCCUCGGGUCCGAGUUGUAAUUUG